rnacentral:rRNA from 1 species
UACGUAGGGGGCAAGCGUUGUCCGGAUUUAUUGGGCGUAAAGAGCGUGUAGGCGGCCUGAAAGGUCAGCUGUGAAAACUCGAGGCUCAACCUCGAGACGUCGGUUGAAACCAUCUGGCUAGAGUCCGGAAGAGGAGAGUGGAAUUCCCGGUGUAGCGGUGAAAUGCGCAGAUAUCGGGAAGAACACCCGUGGCGAAGGCGGCUCUCUGGGACGGUACUGACGCUGAGACGGCGAAAGCGUGGGGAGCGAACAGG